ACGCUCUUUACAACUAAUGAGUCAUAAAUAAGAGGAAAAACAUUUUCACUCUUGAGCAUCCUCGGAAGACGGUUAGAUUUUGGAGUUUUCACAACAAGAGCAAACUUAAGGCAACUUUCUUCUUGAAAAUGUUGGAGACUGAGAUGCAGAUGUUAACAGACAACUCUGCAUGGAAUUGGAGGAUAAGAGUAUAUAACUGAAUGCAUUCUGUCUGGAUUUCUGUAUGGUGACAGAAGGCUUUGAUAAUCAAGACAAUCAAGAAUUGGAGUGGCUAAGAAUCAGAUGGAGACCAAAUGUCAGUUCACAUGGAAUACCAGGGUUUGCAAAGGAGGACAUUGGAACUGGCUUAAGUAUUCAAAUUUCUGAUGGCAGUUGAUGACAGAAGAUGUCAUACUUAGGGAAACAUUAGAUUAAAUUACUUUGAAUGAUAUAAAAACAUCAAACGACAGGGGAAAAAAGAGGACUGCCUAUUUCCGAUAUAUCGAUCUCUUCACAUAGCAACACCCAAAGCACUACCAUCGAAAAAUUAAAAUCAAUAUUUAGGAAGAAAAAAUGAAGACAUUGAUCAUAAAGAAAAGAAGUAGGAAGAGUUUUGAAUAUUAUGUCAAGUUGUCAACAACACCACAGAUCUGGAAAUGGAUUUUC